UAGGGAAGAAUUAAAAAAGGUACAAUAAUUUCGUUGGUGAGGUCCAACAAGUUAGUAAGAUUAUGAAAGAUGAACAUGUGACAUUUUAAUGUAUAAUAUAUAUUUUUGUUGUCACUUUCUAAAAUGUUUUUUCAACGUGAAGAAAGAAAGAAGAAGAAUUGGCGAUGAUUGAAUGAGACUGAUGGAAUGGGCCAUGGUCUUGGGUGUCAUGGGUGUCCAC
rnacentral:lncRNA from 1 species